AUACUGACGAUUCCCAAAUAGGACGAAACGCGCGUCCUGGAU
rnacentral:hammerhead_ribozyme from 1 species